GAUGAACGCUGGCGGCGUGCUUAACACAUGCAAGUCGAACGGUGAAGGCGGAGCUUGCUCUGCUGGAUCAGUGGCGAACGGGUGAGUAACACGUGAGCAAUCUGCCCCUGACUCUGGGAUAAGCGCUGGAAACGGCGUCUAAUACUGGAUACGAGCUGCGAAGGCAUCUUCAGCAGCUGGAAAGAACUUCGGUCAGGGAUGAGCUCGCGGCCUAUCAGCUUGUUGGUGAGGUAACGGCUCACCAAGGCGUCGACGGGUAGCCGGCCUGAGAGGGUGAUCGGCCACACUGGGACUGAGACACGGCCCAGACUCCUACGGGAGGCAGCAGUGGGGAAUAUUGCACAAUGGGCGAAAGCCUGAUGCAGCAACGCCGCGUGAGGGACGACGGCCUUCGGGUUGUAAACCUCUUUUAGCAGGGAAGAAGCGAAAGUGACGGUACCUGCAGAAAAAGCGCCGGCUAACUACGUG
rnacentral:rRNA from 1 species